UACGGAGGGUGCAAGCGUUAUCCGGAUUUACUGGGUUUAAAGGGUGUGUAGGCGGACUUUUAAGUCAGUGGUGAAAUCCCGGGGCUCAACCCCGGAACUGCCCUUGAUACUAUUGGUCUUGAAUACUGUGGAGGUGAGCGGAAUGUGUCAUGUAGCGGUGAAAUGCAUAGAGAUGACACAGAACACCGAUAGCGAAGGCAGCUCACUACACAGUCAUUGACGCUGAGGCACGAAAGCGUGGGGAUCAAACAGG
rnacentral:rRNA from 1 species